UAAUACGUAGGUGGCAAGCGUUGUCCGGAUUUACUGGGCGUAAAGCGCGCGUAGGUGGUCUGCUAAGUUCAGGGUGAAAUCUCCCGGCUCAACCGGGAGGGGUCUUUGAAUACUGGUGGACUUGAGGGCAGCAGAGGUAGGUGGAAUUCCGGGUGUAGUGGUGAAAUGCGUAGAUAUCCGGAGGAACACCAGUGGCGAAGGCGGCCUACUGGGCUGUACCUGACACUGAGGCGCGAAAGCGUGGGGAGCGAACCGGAUCAGAUACCCGGGUAGUCCACGCCCUAAACGGUGGCAACUAGGUGUGGGGGGUAUCGACCCCCUCCGUGCCGCAGCUAACGCUUUAAGUUGCCCGCCUGGGAACUACGGCCGCAAGGUUA
rnacentral:rRNA from 1 species